rnacentral:rRNA from 1 species
UACAGAGGGUGCGAGCGUUAAUCGGAAUUACUGGGCGUAAAGCGCGCGUAGGCGGCUUUGCAAGUCGGGUGUGAAAUCCCCAGGCUUAACCUGGGAACUGCAUUCGAGACUGCAUGGCUAGAGUAUGGGAGAGGGAAGUGGAAUUUCAGGUGUAGCGGUGAAAUGCGUAGAUAUCUGAAGGAACAUCAGUGGCGAAAGCGACUGCCUGGACCAAUACUGACGCUCAUGUGCGAAAGCGUGGGGAGCAAACAGG